GCGGCGCUUGCUGGCAUCCUGUGGGCUGCAGGAGCAGCUCAGAAGGCCACCAUCUGUCUUGUCACUGAGGACAUUUACGUUGCGUCGACUCCGGACUACUCUGUGGACAAUUUCACUGAGCGACUCCAGCUGUUUGAAUUUUUAGAGAAAGAAGCCGCUGAGAAAUUCAUCUACGAUCACUUACUAUGUUUCAGAGGGGAAGGAAGCCAUGGUGUCAUCCUGUUUCUGUACAGCCUGAUCUUCUCUAGAACAUUUGAAAGGCUUCAAAUGGACCUAGAUGUCACCACCACUCAGCUGCUACAACCAAAUGCUGGAGGCUUUCUGUGCAGGCAGGCAGUUCUGAACAUGAUUUUAACUGGAAGAGCAAGUCCCAAUGUCUUCAAUGGCUGUGAGGAAGGAAAGUCUCAGGAAACACUACAUGGAGUCCUGACCCGCAGUGAUGUUGGCUAUUUGCAGUGGGGUAAGGAUGCCUCGGAAGAUGACAGACUCUCACAGGUGGGCAGCAUGCUGAAGACUCCCAAAUUACCUAUUUGGCUGUGCAACAUCAAUGGAAAUUACAGCAUCCUUUUUUGCACAAACAGGCAGCUCUUAUCAGACUGGAAAAUGGAACGUCUCUUUGAUCUGUACUUUUACAGUGGCCAACCCUCACAGAAAAAGCUUGUGCGUCUUACAAUAGAUACUCACUCCCAUCACUGGGAAAGAGACCAACAGGAAGAGAAACAUGGACCAAGACGACGGUUUUCACCAGUGGAGAUGGCAAUCAGAACCAAGUGGAGCGAGGCCACCAUCAACUGGAA
rnacentral:lncRNA from 1 species